rnacentral:rRNA from 1 species
UACGUAGGGGGCAAGCGUUGUCCGGAUUUAUUGGGCGUAAAGGGCGCGUAGGCGGUUUCUUAAGUUUGGAGUGACAGUGGGUGGCUUAACUACCCAAGGCCUCUGAAAACUGGGGAACUUGAGGACCAGAGAGGGACAUAGAAUUCCGGGUGGAGUGGUGAAAUGCGUAGAUAUCCGGAGGAAUACCAAGGGCGAAGGCAGUGUCCUGGAGGGUGACUGACGCUGAGGCGCGAAAGCUAGGGGAGCGAACAGG